rnacentral:lncRNA from 1 species
CCCAAACGUAAUAAACCCUGUACGUCCAACCUUUCAUGCUGCCCACACGAGUACCACAGCUGGGGAGAGUUUUGACGAAAAAUACAGCAUUUUAAUGAGACUGCAGGCACAGUUUAUGUCUGUCUGACUGUAUUGUUGUUAGAGUCCGGGUCAUUAGUGGGGAAGAGAUGGAGUAAGCUUGGGAUAAGGCAAAUGAUUCUGAGAGGAGAGGAGAGGCCUACAUAGGGACUUGAGAGGAAACCUGUUCCUGACCACCCUUAGGUAUCUGUCAGAUGCCCCAGGGUAAUGGUGAUGGCAGGAGGUAGCCCACCUGCAUGACACCUUGCUCCCUACACUAAAGCAGGAGGCUCCCUUAGAAUCUGUCAUAGUGCGGCUCUCCUAUCCCUGAGGCCCUAAAUGCCAAGGUCUCGUCCCAUUCCUGUGAAAAGACUGCAUCCUUGGCACUGAUCGAGGGCCCAGUGCAGGUCCUGGGCAGGAAGGCAGAGUCAGUGACCCUGACAGAUCCCGGCCUCUAGGCUGGCAGGACAUCUUGAUGAAAACCAAUGCCACAUCAUCAGCCUCCCAGCAUACCUCCCUAUCUUUCCUUUCCUUGAGGAAGUUUUCGGGAAUCCUGUCUACACUAGUCUCUCUUCCCUUUCUCCUACCCACUUUCUAGGCCCAGGCAGGACCUGGAUGGUCCUGAACGCCUCCUCAAAGCCAUGCGUAGUCCCUGCCACCAGAGGGCCCAGCCUUUGGCACAGGUUGGAAACUCUGUGGCCUCCUCUCCUGAAGGCUUGUCCUGGGUCUUAUGUCCUCAACCUGACCUCAGACACUGUCCAUCCCCUCGCCAAGAGUUGCCCAAGGACCACCGUGUGCUCAACUCCACUGGCAACCGGAGAGGACCGCCAUUGCGCGUGAGGCUACCCGGGUUUCCCGGAAGUCAGGCAAGGGCGGCGAUGACCAGUGGGGAAACGACGAAAGGAAUUAACGCUGGUCAAAGGCAGGACCGGCAUCCCAUCUCCCCACCCGACUCCAUCCACAAGAAAACCCACGAGCAGCAGUGUCUCUCUCUCCGGGCUAGGGAAGAGGGCCCCCGGGUGGACGAGCAGGCAGGCAGUUCAGGGCUCCCGCGGUCCAGCCUCCGGCCGCAUGGACUGCGGAGCACGGGUCCGCGCGCCAGAGGCCGUACAGGCCUUAGCCGACAGCGCCCUCUGGCGGCCGGAGCGGAAGGCGGCAGUCACAGUCACCAGGUAAGUGGUGCAGGGCGUCAGGCCCUGGACGGUAGUGCUGUUCUGGCCUGCUGGCACCUCCACGCGCUCUAGGGACCCGCCCUGCAGAGGUCCGAGCUGUACAUGGUAGCCGAGAGCGGAGUCCGGGCCAAGCGCGGGGGCCCAGCUUACGCGGAGGCUGCGCGGCCUCGCAUGCGAGAUGACGAUGCGUUCUGGCCCGGCCUCCUCUGCGAAGAAAGAGGAUAGUUGCGUGGAGGAGUGGUCUUCCCAUGCCACCCUGCCCUCCCACGAGUGCCCCUGCCUCACCUUGCAGUGUGCGUACUCGCACGUGCUGCGGCCUCAGGAGGUGCACGUUGGACUCAGGCAGCAGUGAUACUUCAUAGUCUGUGUCCGGGUCGAGAUCUGUCCAGGUCCAGCUGGUAGCAUUCCCGGGCAGCUGUUGGCGUCUUGUGGUUGCCAGUUUGCCGCUAGGUACCAAUUCCAGCACGUAGUAACCAGAGUCCGCUGUCAGCAGGGGCGGCCAGGACAGGCGGAAGCCACUGGACAGAACCUCCGAGGCAUGAAGCUGUUGUGGCUGCAUCGCAUCUAAGGGUGGUUUAGUGCUGGAGUCAGGGAGCAGAAGUGACCGUGUCACCAAAUGGGGCUCUCACUGAUUUGGAGAGGACCCUAAGAUUGGAGCCCCCAAUAAAACAGGUGAAGCAAUGGACUCUGAGCCCAUGGGACAACAAGAGAGGAUG